rnacentral:rRNA from 1 species
UAAUGCAUAGAUAAUGUGCCCCUUAGUUCGGGAUAGCCACUGGAAACGGUGAUUAAUACCGGAUACUCCUUCUUGUUAUAAGACAAGUCGGGAAAGUUUUUCGCUAAGGGAUCAGUCUAUGUUCCAUCAGCUUGUUGGUGAGGUAAUGGCUCACCAAGGCUAUGACGGAUAUCUGGUUUGAGAGGAUGAUCAGACACACUGGAACUGAGACACGGUCCAGACUCCUACGGGAGGCAGCAGUGAGGAAUAUUGCACAAUGGAGGAAACUCUGAUGCAGCAACGCCGCGUGGAGGAUGACGCAUUUCGGUGUGUAAACUCCUUUUAUUAGGGAAGAUAAUGACGGUACCUAAUGAAUAAGCACCGGCUAACUCCGUGCCAGCAGCCGCGGUAAUACGGAGGGUGCAAGCGUUACUCGGAAUCACUGGGCGUAAAGGGUGCGUAGGCUGGCUUUUAAGUCAGAUGUGAAAUCCAAUGGCUCAACCAUUGAACUGCAUUUGAAACUGAAAGCCUAGAGUUCAGAAGGGGCAGAUGGAAUUAGUGGUGUAGGGGUAAAAUCCGUAGAUAUCACUAGGAAUAUCAAAAGCGAAGGCGAUCUGCUGGGAUGAUACU